UACGAAGGGGGCUAGCGUUGUUCGGAAUCACUGGGCGUAAAGCGCACGUAGGCGGAUCUUUAAGUCAGGGGUGAAAUCCUGGAGCUCAACUCCAGAACUGCCUUUGAUACUGGUAAGCUCGAGUCCGGGAGAGGUGAGUGGAACUGCGAGUGUAGAGGUGAAAUUCGUAGAUAUUCGCAAGAACACCAGUGGCGAAGGCGGCUCACUGGCCCGGUACUGACGCUGAGGUGCGAAAGCGUGGGGAGCAAACAGG
rnacentral:rRNA from 1 species